rnacentral:tRNA from 1 species
GCCAGUGUGGCCUAAUGAUUAAGGCACCAGGCUAGAAAACAGGCGACAAUGAGUUCAAGUCUCACCUCAGCCA